GGGCGAGUAGCUCAGUUGGUUAGAGCGCGCGCUUGAUAAGCGUGAGGUCGCAGGUUCAAAUCCCGCCUUGCCCACCA
rnacentral:tRNA from 1 species